rnacentral:rRNA from 1 species
UAGUCCACGCCGUAAACGGUGUCAACUAGCUGCUUGUGGCUUUAAGCCGUGGGUGGCGGAGCUAACGCAUUAAGUUGACCGCCUGGGGAGUACGGCCGCAAGGUUAAAACUCAAAUGAAUUGACGGGGGCCCGCACAAGCGGUGGAGCAUGUGGUUUAAUUCGAUGCAACGCGAAGAACCUUACCAUCCCUUGACAUCCAGAGAAUUCGCUAGAGAUAGCUUAGUGCCUUCGGGAACUCUGAGACAGGUGCUGCAUGGCUGUCGUCAGCUCGUGUUGUGAAAUGUUGGGUUAAGUCCCGCAACGAGCGCAACCCUUGUCCUUAUUUGCCAGCACGUAAUGGUGGGAACUUUAAGGAGACUGCCGGUGAUAAACCGGAGGAAGGUGGGGACGACGUCAAGUCAUCAUGGCCCUUACGGGAUGGGCUACACACGUGCUACAAUGGCGCAUACAGAGUGCAGCGAACUUGCGAGAGUAAGCGAAUCACUUAAAGUGCGUCGUAGUCCGGAUUG